CCGGUGGCCCAACCCCUUGUGGGAGGGAGCUGUCGAAGGUGGGACUGGCGAUUGGGACGAAGUCGUAACAAGGUAGCCGUACCGGAAGGUGCGGCUGGAUCACCUCCUUU
rnacentral:rRNA from 1 species